rnacentral:piRNA from 1 species
UAGUGGCAACCUUGUUCAAGUUAAACAACUA